AGUUCCGUAGUUUAAAAAACAUUAUCCUUUCAUGAUAGAAAAGUACACAACCGGCCAGUACCGGAACUA
rnacentral:tRNA from 1 species